AAGUCCUCAUGGCCCUUAUGUCCAGGGCUACACACGUACUACAAUGGUAUCUACAGACGGUUGCCAAAGCGUAAGCUGGAGCUAAUCCUACAAAAGAUAUCUAAGUUCAGAUUGUGGUCUGCAACUCGACCACAUGAAGGCGGAAUCGCUAGUAAUCGCGGAUCAGCAUGCCGCGGUGAAUACGUUCCCGGGCCUUGUACACACCGCCCGUCACACCAUGAAAGUCGGCUGUACCAGAAGUCGCUGUGCUAACCGCAAGGAGGCAGGCGCCCAAGGUAUGGUCGAUGAUUGGGGUGAAGU
rnacentral:rRNA from 1 species